GGGGACGGAGGGGGAGAGGUUACUGUGGGAGAAUAUAUCUCCCCUACGCAUCCCUCCCACCCUUCCUCCGGUGCAAGCGCCACUAAAUCUCACCCUAACAUCCCUUCGCUUUGGGAGACGUGGCGAGACCGCCAGAGGGAUGCGGGCGGCCCCGACCGAGGGGAAGUGACCCGGCCCGGGGCGAGCCGACCCGGCGAGGGAAAGUGUCUUUCCAGGUGCUCUCCCCGUGCGGGAGACGUCCGCGUUCCCCGAGCUGCCCGUGCCUCGAGGGGAGGCGGCGGCUGGGCUGCUGCGGGAGGACCGCAGCACAACGAGCGCCCAAUUCAGGGAUUCACCCGGCACAGCUCCGGGGAGGACCCGCGCCCUCCCUUCCCUACCCAGCCCGGACAGCGGCUCCGCAGCACGAACCAGGCGGCACCUCACGCAUUAUCUCGGACGGCCCUCCCGGGCAACUCGGCGGGUGGAGGGCCAGCGCCGGCAGCCAGGGGGCCGCGACCUUUUCCCCGCCCCUACCGGCAGGGCGGACGGCGAGGCCCCCGGGACGCGGCCGUGCCUGCCGCGGCCAGGCGCACCCCGGCACCCGGCGCAGAUAGGAGCCCGCAGCCUCCCCCGAUAGACGCUCACCAAGCGCGGGAUCCUGCCCCCCUCCUCCCGAAGUACUCACCGCUGUCGACCGGGCGGGGGGAAGGCUUAGCCCCCCAGAGCACGCGUGUGACAGCUCCGCGGGGCCGCGUGUGGCUGCGCUCCCGUGGCGCCCCCCGCCCGGCCGGCAGCACUCGCACCCCCGCGCCGCGGCCCCGGUGAGAAUCGCUCCCCCGAAGCUGCAGUGAUAAAAGCGCCGCGCGGAGCGGUUACCUGCCGCUGGAAGGGUGGGUCCCGAUGUCCUCCGGCGGCAACUCGCGCUGCCGCGUUCCCAUUCCCCGCGGCGUUAAAGGUUACCGCUGCUUCCAUCGCCGACCUCCAAACGAUGUUUUAAAAUUGAGACCGUAAAUGCUGCAACAAAAUAAAUCGAAACGGCCCGUUACUGGCGAAGUCGAGUGUAAUUUCAUGUUGUCCUUACACCGGUUAGCAACACCCGUAGGUUCUGCUACUAGCGAAACGGCGUUCAUUCUCACAGGCUGUCUUCGGACAAAUCGCUUUUAAAUCGCCCUCUUUGAUGCGUACAUAAAUGCGUCUGUUACAGAAAUCUGCGCGUACGAUAAGAGCGAAAGGUUUCUUUGCCGAAACCAAAGGCUGCCUAAGUUUGAAGGAGCUGCUGCUCUCUGUGAGUACACACAAAACGAAUUCGGUGUCGGGAGAUGAGCGAGCGCAGCCCGCUCCCGAGGAGCGACGAGACCGCUCCCCUCUGCCCCCGCCCGCCCCCGCUGUGCGCCCGCAGCCCGCCGCUCCCGCACCCGCGGGGUCCCGGGGCGUGGAAGGGUGCGGGAAGGUCGGGGCUGCUGCUGGACCCGGUCUUUUCUGCGACAGACCGACAUGUGGAGUUAGUCCCGUUAACCGCCGGCUCCAGAAUCUACAACGUACGUACUUAAAUACAAAUCCUCGUGCGACUUAAGCAGAGCAUUUUAUUUCCCGUGAAAACCAGACCUCUCUUGGUACAAACGGAAAGCCCUUCCUGCAACGGAACGUUUCUCAAGUUUGCACGCUUUUUUUUUUUUUUUUCUUUUUUAAAUAGCCUAACUUGAGAAAUAUUCCGGAAAACGAGCAACGUUUUCUCGAUCGCUUAG
ensembl:lncRNA